rnacentral:rRNA from 1 species
AUACGUAGGUGACAAGCGUUAUCCGGAUUUACUGGGCGUAAAGGGCGUGUAGGCGGUCUUGCAAGUCAGAAGUGAAAUUCCUGAGCUCAACUCGGGCGCUGCUUCUGAAACUGCGGGACUUGAGUGCUGGAGGGGAUAGCGGAAUUCCUAGUGGAGCGGUAAAAUGCGCAGAUAUUAGGAAGAACACCGGUGGCGAAGGCGGCUAUCUGGACAGGAACGGACGCUGAGGCGCGAAAGCGUGGGGAGCAAACAGGAUUAGAUACCCUGGAAGUCCACGCCGUAAACGAUGAAUACUAGGUGUAGGGGGUAUCGACUCCCUCUGUGCCGCAGUUAACACAAUAAGUAUUCCGCCUGGGGAGUACGGCCGCAAGGUUGAAACUCAAAUGAAUUGACGGGG